AGAAAAGCAAUUUCAAAAGAAUCAUUAAAUCACAUUGAGGGAGGGGAUCGGUACCACAGCCAGCAACGCCUCUGCUAACAGAACAGCUCUGGAUAUAAGUCACUUUGUCCUUCCCCAUCUGUGGAUUCAGAGCCCUAUCCUAGAGUUACCUAUAGGAACAGAUCACAUUUAGCAAGUAACUGAGCAAGGUGGUACAAGAGAGCCCAUCAAGACAAGGCCUAUCUGUUUUGACAAGAACAGCUCUCAGUUUCCUACCCUCCAAAUCCCCAUUCCCAUGAGCAAAGGGCAUUGGACAGCUGUGCGGGACACCAGAGAGCAAGAUCCGUUUGUGAAGCUCUCAUCUCUGAAACACAUUCUUCAACUUUAGAUGAUGCUCUCCUAUGGAGCAGCACUAGCAGUCAACAGAAUAUCAGCAGCAAAUAUCAACAACUAAUCUUUCUCUUUUGAAGAAACAGUCCUACAUAUCACAGAGGUUUCAAAGCCAAUGAUGAAACAAAAACCCCGAAGCUAUAGUCCAUUUACCUGUAGCGUGAUAUCCUCGAAGAAUAAAAAUGCUCAAGAGCCUUGAGUUACUAUCUUUAA